AGGGUUGUAUGUGGUUAGUUUACUAGAUUAAGAUGGUUUCAUCUAUUGGACUUAGAGCACUGAGGUGCAGUGGGCUCUACUUCUCUUGUCCUUUCGUACUGG